rnacentral:tmRNA from 1 species
GGGGGCGUUUUGGCUUCGACGGGGGUGAGGUUGGUUUGAUAAGCGAGUAAGGAUAAGCAUGGAAUCCUUUGAACAGCUAUGCAUUAAAUAUAAACGCAAACAAUAAUGAAUUUGCUUUAGCAGCCUAGUCUGCUAACAUCCUGCCUUGGUUGCCCACGGCUGAGUCACAGGGUGUCAAUUAAAGUGGGGAACCGCGCUUAGCAAAGCUUUGAGCUAAGAACGGAAGAUAUGAAGCUACUGCAACAAGAAUCCUGUCUGUGGGAGUCUUGAAGCGGGAAUUUUAAAACACAAGACUACACUCGUAGAAAGUCUUAUUGACUUGCUUUCGGACAGGGGUUCGAUACCCCUCGCUUCCACCA